GUUGGUGGUACAGUGGUUAGCAUAGCUGCCUUCCAAGCAGUUGACCCUAGUUCGAAUCCCCACCAACA
rfam:Nematostella vectensis strain CH2 x CH6 NEMVEscaffold_103_Cont12720, whole genome shotgun sequence.